rnacentral:lncRNA from 1 species
AAGCCAUCAAGGAAAAGUGUGGUGAGGAGACAGGCGAGUGGAGACUGUGGCCAUGCAGACUAAGGGUCCUGAAAAGUCAGAGGAGAAAGUGUUCAGAGGGAAGAUGAGGUGUGUGGUCAGUGGAAGCUGGAAAUACAAGGAGGGAGUGUGACGCGUGGCAGGCUCCAUAAAUGUUUGCAAGAAACAGAUUGUAAUAGACACCAAAUUGUGUUAAAUGGAUACAUAGAAAUAGAUGAUGAUAUUAAAUAGAUAACAGAAAUGAGCAGAUGAAAGUAAGUUAGCCGUGCACAGCUGGAUGGCCGUGUGGAUGGAUGGAUGACGGAUGGAUGGAUGUGGGCAAAUGGAUGAGCAAGCAGAGAGACAGAUAUUCUUAGUCUAGGAUCAUUGGAUGUAGGGUCCAAAGUUCAAGUUUGGAUUUGGGCCCUUCUGCUUACUGACUCCUACUAGCUAUGCGACUAUGAGAGUUCAGUGUUGAAAAACAAAAGAAGAGAUAAUCAGUGCAGGCUGCCACCUUCCCCAGGAAGUUUAUAAGCAUUGCCUAAGAUAGAUGAGAAGGAGCACUGCAUAAAGCGGCACAUAAGUGCCAGAGGAUGUUGGGUAUAAGCAAAAUAUAAAGGGCUUCUCAGCCCUAAAUUCACAUACAGGACAAUGCAAGAGAUUCAGAACUGGUACAUAUAAGGGACUGGUGGUGGAAUGGGUGUAGAAGCUGGAAUGUAUAUUACACAGUGGUAGGUCCUACUCCAUAAGUAACCAUUGAGCAAACUAAGGGCCCGAUGUUUGGGGACUGCUGAGUCAGUGUCUGGCUGUACUCACUUUGUCUCAGCACAUCGCCCCUCCCUGACACAGCACCUUCUGCGGUGAUGCUCGACUCUGCUUCCCUCUUCAGAAUCACCUUGAUUACUCAGCCUCGGGGGAAGAAUCCAGAGCCCACCAAUAUGAAAAUCACCUGGAUGCCCACUGACAAGUGCAGAUUCUGGGGUCCCACUUCCAUCCUCUACAUCAGAGUCCAAGGAUGUAUGCCAGCUGAAGAUACUGGCUUGGUGCCUUGCACACAGUAGGUCCUCAGACCCCUGCCACUGCCUCCUGCCCAGAGGCAAGGAAACGGUCCAAGUGACCUCUCCAUGGCCCUCGGCUCUGAGAUGGCAGACUUCUCAGCAGCAGCUUUGGGACACAAGCCUCUCCAAUUGCCUGUGGAUUUUGAACUAAGCCCUCCGGCUUCCACCAGGCUGCUGCGGGGAUCCUGGAAAAACCCAGGGAUGAGGGAGGCCUAAUGAAGAUAAGAGGUUCUUGCUUCUCCUCCCAGCUGACUGCUGCCCAGGUGGGGGCCACUUUAAUGCCUAUGCUGAAGUCCCAGGGGUGGAGCCACAGCGGCCUUGCAGGAGAUGAGGAGCUGCUAAUUACCCACAGGAAUCCUGAGUUGUUUACAGCAGUUGUUCAGGGCCCUUGCUGCUCCCUGGAAUCACCUGUGGAGCUUUACGCACUCUUGUUAUGUGGGCCCACCCCCAGAGAUUCUGAAUGUUUGCAAGCCUGGGCAUCAGACUGCUAAUUCUCAUACGUGAUGCCAAUGUGGAGCCAAGGCUGGAAGCAAUGCCUAAAGGACCCCUCACCCGGGACUUGCUGUGUUUCCCAGCCGAGUGUUAAGCAUUGAAUCCCCACUUUCCAGAUGGAAUAAAUAAGACUUAGAAACC